rnacentral:rRNA from 1 species
CCAGACUCCUACGGGAGGCAGCAGUGGGGGAUAUUGCACAAUGGGCGAAAGCCUGAUGCAGCAACGCCGCGUGAGUGAUGAAGUACUUCGGUAUGUAAAGCUCUGUCUUUGGGGACGAUAAUGACGGUACCCAAGGAGGAAGCCACGGCUAACUACGUGCCAGCAGCCGCGGUAAUACGUAGGUGGCGAGCGUUGUCCGGAAUUACUGGGCGUAAAGGAUGCGUAGGUGGACUUUUAAGUCAGAUGUGAAAUCCCCGGGCUUAACCUGGGGGCUGCAUUUGAAACUGGAGGUCUAGAGUGCAGGAGAGGUAAGUGGAAUUCCUAGUGUAGCGGUGAAAUGCGUAGAUAUUAGGAAGAACACCAGUGGCGAAGGCGACUUACUGGACUGUAACUGACACUGAGGCAUGAAAGCGUGGGGAGCAAACAGGAUUAGAUACCCUGGUAGUCCACGCUGUAAACGAUGGGUACUAGGUGUGGGAGGUAUCGACUCCUUCCGUGCCGCCGUUAACACAAUAAGUACCCCGCCUGGGGAGUACGGUCGCAAGAUUA